UACGUAGGGGCCUAGCGUUGUCCGGAUUUACUGGGCGUAAAGAGCGCGCAGGCGGUCGUUCAAGUCGAGUGUGAAAGCCCCCGGCUUAACUGGGGAGGGUCAUUCGAUACUGAUCGACUCGAAGGCAGGAGAGGGUAGUGGAAUUCCCGGUGUAGUGGUGAAAUGCGUAGAUAUCGGGAGGAACACCAGUGGCGAAGGCGACUACCUGGCCUGUUCUUGACGCUGAGGCGCGAAAGCUAGGGGAGCAAACGGG
rnacentral:rRNA from 1 species